rnacentral:rRNA from 1 species
GUUCCCGGCACACGUCGGGCGUGUCGACGGUACCCGCGACGCUGCGUUCUUCCUCCGGGGAGAGCGCGCGUCCGCGACCGUGACCCAAACCAAACGAUCGAAGUGAGCUCGUGCUCGAUGGUUUUGCAUGGAAUCGUGGAACGGGACCCUGGCUCGCGUUUCGCACGCGUUCCGCGAGAGCCAGGGCGACGAUCAACGGGAGCGGUCGGAGGCGAGGGAACUGCCGGGCGAGGGGUAAAAUCUGAUGAGCCUGGCAAGACCACCGAAAGCGAAGGCACUCCCAGGCCUUUCCUCGAUAAG